rnacentral:rRNA from 1 species
UUUCUGCCACCGAAUACAUUAGCAUGGGAUAAUGGAAUAGGACCCUGUCCUCCUAUUUUCAGUUGGUUUUGGCAGCGCGAGGACUAGGGUAAUGAUUAAUAGGGAUAGUUGGGGGCAUUAAUAUUUAAUUGUCAGAGGUGAAAUUCUUGGAUUUAUGAAAGAUUAACUUCUGCGAAAGCAUCUGCCAAGGAUGUUUUCAUUAAUCAAGAACGAAAGUUAGGGGAUCGAAGACGAUCAGAUACCGUCGUAGUCUUAACCAUAAACGAUGCCGACCAGCGAUUAGGAGACGUUGAAUACAAAACACCACCAUCGGCGCGGUCGUCCUUGGCGUUCGUGUUCACGCACGAGCGCGAGGGCGGUUUAGCCCGAUGGCACCGGUGAAUGACUCCCCUAGCAGCUUGUGAGA